UACCAGCACCCCGAGUGGUCGGGACGAUUAUUGGGCCUAAAGCAUCCGUAGCCGGUCAUGCAAGUCCUCCGUUAAAUCCACCUGCUUAACAGAUGGGCUGCGGAGGAUACUACAAGGCUAGGAGGCGGAAGAGGCAAGCGGUACUCAGUGGGUAGGGGUAAAAUCCUCUGAUCCAUUGAAGACCACCAGUGGCGAAGGCGGCUUGCGAAUACGCGCUCGACGGUGAGGGAUGAAAGCUGGGGGAGCAAACAGG
rnacentral:rRNA from 1 species